rnacentral:tRNA from 1 species
ACUUUUAUAGUAUAAUAGUAUAUGUGACUUCCAAUCACAAGGUUUAAAUUUUUUUAAUAAAAGUA